rnacentral:rRNA from 1 species
GUCGAACGAGAGGCCGUAGCAAUACGGUCGUACAGUGGCGAACGGGUGAGGAAGACGUGGGUAACCUACCCUCGAGUGGGGAAUAACCCGCCGAAGGGCGGGCUAAUACCGCGUACGCUUCUGUUCCUUCGGGGACGGAAGGAAAGCUGUGCCGUGGGCAUGGCGCUCAAGGAUGGGCUCACGCCCUAUCAGCUUGUUGGUAGGGUAACGGCCUACCAAGGCAACGACGGGUAGCUGGUCUGAGAGGACGAUCAGCCACACUGGCACUGCGACACGGGCCAGACUCCUACGGGAGGCAGCAGUGAGGAAUAUUGCGCAAUGGGCGAAAGCCUGACGCAGCGACGCCGCGUGGGGGAUGAAGGUCUUCGGAUUGUAAACCCCUUUCAGGAGGGAAGAUGGAACGGGCAACCGUUCGGACGGUACCUCCAGAAGCAGCCACGGCUAACUUCGUGCCAGCAGCCGCGGUAAUACGAAGGUGGCAAGCGUUGUUCGGAUUUACUGGGCGUAAAGGGAGCGUAGGCGGUUGGGUAAGCCCUUUGGGAAAGCUCCCGGCUUAACCGGGAAAGGUCGAAGGGGACUGCCUGGCUAGAGGGUGGGAGAGGAGCGCGGAAUUAA